CGACCCCAGGUCACAUGCA
rnacentral:rRNA from 1 species